GAUGCUAUUUGUUUUUGUGUGAAAUAAUUUUAUUUUAUUUAUUUAAACAGUUGAAGACUUUCAGCGGCAACUACCGUGGGUUUAUAUAAAUUUAUAUUACAAUAUAAAUAGAUCAAUAAGCAAACAGAAGCUUCAAGAACUUUACAGAUCGAGUAAAAUAACAAUUCUCAAUUUUAAAAAUGUGCACAGGUAUCGUGUGAGUCGCCGCCAGGUCGCGGCCGCGUAGCGACGUGCGGCGGGCGGCGCGGCCGGAGCGGGACUGGGCCGGGAGAAUCGCGCUUGCGUGCGCCGCCCUACACCCCCGAUUGAUUAAAACAGACAACCCUGGCAACAUAUGUAUGUGAUUCUGACGUUUCCUAUCAGCGGAUCUCCGGCGGGAUGCUGGAAAUUAGUUGCGGUGCGAUCACAGUUUCACGCCGCAUAUCAUCGCGACUAUCUCAGGCAUAAAUGUUUACCUAACCGACUAUAAUGUAGGCUUUAUCAAGCAUUUA